rnacentral:ncRNA from 2 species
GAGUGAGGUAGAGGCGCGAAAACCAUGAGUACCUCCCAGAGAUCGGGUAUCUAUGAAGGGCAGGAAAAGGGGAAUUCGCCGAAGUGUGAAGAGCGACCCGUGCUUUUCAUGCUGGGCUUGCGUUGAACAAGCGCAGGACUGUCAUCCAGGCAAUGGCCAGUUGCUGGAUGGAGAGCUAUCUCACGG